UACGAAGGGGGCUAGCGUUGCUCGGAAUCGACUGGGCGUAAAGCGCACGUAGGCGGAUUGCUAAGUCAGGGGUGAAAUCCUGGAGCUCAACUCCAGAACUGCCUUUGAUACUGGCGAUCUCGAGUCCGGGAGAGGUGAGUGGAACUGCGAGUGUAGAGGUGAAAUUCGUAGAUAUUCGCAAGAACACCAGUGGCGAAGGCGGCUCACUGGCCCGGUACUGACGCUGAGGUGCGAAAGCGUGGGGAGCAAACAGGG
rnacentral:rRNA from 1 species